GGUUGUGUAGUGUAGUGGUUAUCACUCCAGAUUCUGAUCAUUACGAGAUGAAUCUUCUGGCGACCCCGGUUCGACUCCGGGCACGACCU